rnacentral:misc_RNA from 1 species
CGUUAUGUGCGCCCUCAUCCCGUUUCUCCGCCAAGAUCACCGGGUUGGGGCGUUUCCUUUCCGAGGCGAUAGCUACCUGCUAACGCGCCAUCCCAUUGUUUUUG